GACUUGGGUGAGUUCAGUAGUCAGUAGAAACGCUAAGAGUAAAGAAACUAGGAAUACUUACACCGUAACAUAAAAGCUUAAUUCCAAAUAUCCCGUCUAUCGUUGUUGAUCGUCGAUUCACAAUAUUUGUCUACUCUCCUUCCUUUACUAACGGAAAAAACAGCUAAACUCAAAAUGAGGGUGCUAAAUAAGUGUUUUCCCACAUUUUCCUUCACCAACCAAAUGAAUGGCAUUCGAUAUCAUUCUUUUCUAUUCUGUCUGACGUGGUCUGUUUUGGGAUGUCUCCUCUUGAAUUUAAUCUCCUUGGGAGAAAGCUCUCCGACUCCGAGGGUGGGACUCAUAAUUUUUGGGACCACAAUAUCACCAGGAUUUAUUAGGAAAGAGGGAAAAUUUGCCUCUCAAUGCCCUGAAUCCCAUCCAACGGCAUUCGGUAAUGGGUCUUUUUGUUGCGAAAGCUAUCAUCGAUCGAACCAAUUUGAAACCAAUUUGGAAUGGGAGGAUCCUCUUGAUUUAUGUCAUCAUCAACAUUUUAUUAAGUGCCAAGAUUUUGCCUGUGUAACACAUGAGAACUAUAGAGCUACAAAGUCAUGUCCAACAGCGCACCCAAUUCAAAUGAAUAAUGGUUGCUGCAACCAAUACUUAAAUAGAUGCAAUGAUGAAACUAUUCAACCGACAGACGACCCAACAUGUUGCUUCAAAGACGAAGCAUUCUAUCCAGAGUCUUGUAGCAAAUUCAAGUUGAGAUGCCGAUCCCCAAACCCAAAGAGCGGUACGUAAUUUCUACCCUAAUAAUCGAAAGCACACGAAAAGUAC